UACGAAGGGGGCUAGCGUUGCUCGGAAUGACUGGGCGUAAAGGGCUCGUAGGCGGUCCAUCACGUCGGGAGUGAAAAGCUGGGGCUUAACCCCAGUCCUGCUUCCGAUACGGGUGGACUAGAGGUAGGCAGGGGAGAACGGAAUUCCUGGUGUAGCGGUGAAAUGCGCAGAUAUCAGGAAGAACACCCGUGGCUAAGGCGGCUCUCUAGUACGGUACUGACGCUGAGACGCGAAAGCGUGGGGAGCGAACAGG
rnacentral:rRNA from 1 species